rnacentral:rRNA from 1 species
CAUUCUUAGCGAUGGGUUACUUGGCUUGUGAAUUGAUGAGGAACGCAGCUUUAGUGCGAAUCAUAGACGCAUUGAGCACAAAAAUUUCGAACACACUUUGCACGGAUUGAUUCCCAUUUUUUGAUGAUAUACCUAUUUGAAAGUCA